rnacentral:ribozyme from 1 species
AUACUAAAAAAAAAAAAAAUGUAUAUGUAUAUAUUCUUCCCGCCGUCUUUUUUUUCUUUUUGCUCCAUGGUGGUUCUUGACUUCACUUGCUCACAAAUGGGUGGUGGUUCGCACC